AACAGGAUUAGAUACCCUGGUAGUCCACGCCGUAAACGAUGAUCACUGGACGUGGGUUUUGCGUUGCAAGAUCCGUGUCGUAGCUAACGCGUUAAGUGAUCCGCCUGGGAAGUACGGUCGCAAGAUUAAAACUCAAAGGAAUUGACGGGGGUCCGCACAAGCGGUGGAACAUGUGGUUUAAUUCGACACUACGCGAGAAACCUUACCUAGGCUUGACAUAUACCUGACAGCUGUAGAAAUACAGUUUUCAGAGCUUGCUCUGACAGGUAAACAGGUGCUGCACGGCUGUCGUCAGCUCGUGUCGUGAGAUGUUUGGUUAAGUCCUCUAACGAGCGCAACCCCUGCCAUUAGUUGCUAUUUCGAAAGAAAGCACUCUAAUGGGACUGCCCAGGAAACUGGGAGGAAGGUGGGGAUGAGGUCAAGUCAUCAUGGCCCUUAUGCCUAGGGCUACACACGUGUUACAAUGGCUAGUACAAAGGGAAGCUAACCCGCGAGGGGGCGCAAAUCUCAUAAAGCUAGCCUAAGUUCGGAUUGGAGUCUGCAACCCGACUCCAUGAAGUUGAAAUCGCUAGUAAUCGCGCAUCAGAACGGCGCGGUGAAUACGUUCUCGGACCUUGUACACACCGCCCGUCACACCACGAAAGUUGUUCACACCAGAAAUUAUUUUAGCUAACCUUAACGGGGGCGAAUAAUGAAGGUGUGGGGGAUGAUUGGGGUGAAGUCGUAACAAGGUAACC
rnacentral:rRNA from 1 species